UAUAUAUACAGUGAAGUGAUUGACAAUAUAUCAAUCCAGUGUGAUUUCUGAUACUUGAAUAAGCUUGAAGUGGCCAAGAAAUUAACUAUUCAGAAUGAAGUUGUUCGCUUACAUCUUUUUCCUCUUGAUGGUUCUCAUUCUUUUAGUGUGUCCUCUAGCCAUUCAAGCGGCUGACACCACCACAGCUGGAGCUACAGAUGCUGCUGCAGAUGCUUCAAGUACUACUAAAGGAACUACAGGGACUACAGCAGCUGCAGAUGCAGCAACGACUGAAGCACCUAGUAAGAAAGCAGAUUAGAAGAACUCCUUGUUUUAGCGACUAAUCCGGUGAAAGCAAGACUUAACAUUACUGGAGUGGAGGGUUUUGGUGGCGUUGAAUCUUAACAGAGAAAGAUGUUUGGGCGGUUGCGGGAAAGAAUAUUCUGUAUAUCUCCCAAUUCUUAAUUUCCCGCCUCUGCAAAAUAAACCUAUUUUUUGUAUUGAAA